GGACCUCUUGUUACAGAGCUCACUGCUCCUAGGACACAGCUUCUGCUUUGCACACAACACAUCCAGCACCCUGCUCCCUUGUUCUCACCACCGCCUCCGGCAUCAUGGGCACCAACUUUACUCCUGCAUGUAGGCUGCAUCUUCCCCUGCCCUCAAUGGUCAUGCCUCAGCAGACUUUACUGUGGACUUGACUUCCAGUCCAGGAGCAAGUCCGCUAGACUAUGUUCCCAUCACAAGGCAUCUGAACAACUCAGGACAGGACAGGCUGAGCUCAAGAUAUCGGGUCAUGCAGAACAUAACAGAAAUACUCAAUUGCCCCAUCCCCGAGGUCCCGAUUUGUUCCCAGGGCUCCCACCAGGCACCUGGGGCCAGUGGCUGAGAACAGGACCGCCCAUGGCAGCGAGCCGAUCCAUCCCAGGCUCUGAGGAGACGGCCUCGGUUAAAUGUGGGUGGCUUCAGAAAUAUGGCCUUUAAUAUAUCCGCUCCCCAAGCGAUCGCUACAGACGGCCAGGUGUCCCGCCUGGACAUCCGCCUUUGGGUAAGAGCUCUCUCUAUUCCAAUUCUGUAAAAAGGCAACAUUGAGAGGGGUCCUGGGGGUUCAGGCAGUUCAGCGUCCAACUCUUGGCUUCGGUUCGGCGCAUGACCACAGGGUUGUUGAGAUGGAGCCCCAGGUGGUUUCUCCAAGCUCAGUGCUCAGCAGGGAGUUUGAUGAAGUUUGUCUCCCUCUCCCUCCUCCUCCCCCACUCAUGCUCUCUUUUUCUCUCUCUCUCUCUGAAAAAAAAAAAAAAAAAAAAAAGGCAACCUUGAGAGUUGGCAGGUGGAUCACUUGCCCAAGCAGGAAGUGACAGCAACACAGAGCCCGGUGGUCUCCAAGCCUUACCCGGGACUUUGUAAAGAUGCCUUAGCAUUUGACUACAAUGGGCAACCUGUUCUGCUCUGAAAGUUCUCAUUCUCUGUCAGCAGAAGUUCUCACACCUCCUUCCUGAUAGAGGCUGCUGGGUAAGUGAGACCCCUUCUUUCUGCCCCUGGGAUGCUCAGCCUAUGCUGGGGGCAUCGUGUGCGGAGAUCCUGCUUUGCUGGGUGAUACAGCACCCUGUCCUGCAUGCUCACAAGCGGAGUCUUGUCAACACUUGUAUGUCCCUGAGAGGGUGUCCACAGGAAGCCAAAAUAUAUUGGACAAGAAGGUACAGGUCCAUCUGAGGAGGCGGAAUGAGCCGAUGCAAGCUGAGUCCAGGCGAGUAACAGUCCCCAGGCCAGUGUGUACUGGGAAGUGAAGUAGGAGAAGGAGCCUCCAGCCCAACAAUUCAGCAUGCUUACCUUUUUGUAAAAUAAAUAUAAUGUGUAGAAACA
rnacentral:lncRNA from 12 species